rnacentral:lncRNA from 1 species
UCAUGCCAGGGAGGGCCAAUCUCCAGACAGCGCUCCUGCUGGCUGUAUGAUGACUGCCCUUGCAACAAAGACCAGUUAUGAAGGACACAAGCCUCUCCCUAGGCUUGCCUUCUUACCUUAGCUACUUAGUGUGGAUUUGCUUGCAACCCACCAGUUAAUUAGGGUGAUUUGCUACCUGUAAACAAAGAUCUAGCAACUGAGGUUUCUGUGUCUGAGGAUGCUGGAUAUCAAAGAAAGGAUAAACAUGGACAGAAAGGGUAACACUGGCUGCCAAGAAAGCCACAGCAGCCAAAAGCAUAUGAAACACUGCGAGGUCCUGCAGCAUACAGGUUAAGAACACGGAUUCUAGAGCUAGACUGCCUCGUUUCAAAUCUCUGCUCUGACACUAACUAGCUCCAUGACUUUGGGCUACUUAACUCCUGUGUGCCUCAGUUUCCCAAUCUCUAAAACAGGGAUACUAAUAGUAUCUACCUCAUAAGGCCGUGAGUAGAUUAAUGGAGUUACUCUAUGUCAACUACUCAGAUAUUGCCUGGAAUACAAUCAGUGCUCUGAAUGUGUGCAGCAACUUUCAGGCUGACUGAUGAUGUUGUGAGGGGCCAGAAGGAAAGAUGAACGCUUAGGGGAGGGGAGCUGCUAUGGUGAUAGACAGCUACACUAGGAGAAUUAAAAAAGAAACUGUACAUGGCAAACUCUUACCCUUGUGUCAGGGGAACAGCUUAAUACCACACACCAGCUACAUUCACUUGCUAAAAACAACAGCUCUUUCUCCAAACAACUCAAACCCCCAAUUCCCAUCGCAUUCCAUUUGGGUGAGAUGCAACUAACAGUCCCCUUCCAGGAUAAAGGAGUCAAAGAAUAAAGCUUGCCCAGAGGCAAAAAAUAAUAAUAAUAACAACAGCAAAACCUGACAAUGAUAUCAGAUGAUUCACCCGCCUCCGCCUCCCAAAGUGCUAGGAUUACAGGCUUGAGCCACUGCGCCCGGCCAAAAUGUUUAAAAAAUUUAAUCUGUAAAAUUUGAAGCUUAACUGAACAUAAGUUAAAGAAAAAAUACAAACGUUCUCACUUUUAUACAAAUAUUUCUAGAUGUAUGGAUGAAGUAAAAAGUUAUGCUUAAUGGCUUAAAAAUUGGUUUUUAAAUGAAUAAACUUUAAUAAAUUCAACAUUAAUUAAAAUAUGAAAACUACAGUUAAAACUUGCUCAAACGUUAAAAACCCAGUAACACAUCACAAUUUCCAAAGCACUUUCAUUUAUAUUAUACAAUUUCAUCAUGAAGAUGAAACUGUUCUCCUUCAGCUAAAAAAAGAGCAAGGUUGUGUCUUAUUCAUUUCUGUAUCUCCAGCACCUAUCACACUGCCUGACACAUAGGAAGGAGGCCGCCAACAAAUCCUGUACUUAAUGAACACACCCAAUUUGUAGAACAGGAAAUGGAGGUCCAGAGAGAGAAGGGACUUACUCAAGGUCACAGAGUUAUUACAGGCAGGGCAGCAACCCCACUCAGAUAUCUCUCACACGUAGAGCUCAGUGUUCCCACCAUCGCCUGCUGACAUCGCCAUGGAAAUAGUGUUGGCAGUGUUCCUGCCAUCGCCAUGGAAAUAGCUGGCAGCACAAAAUACUAAGUCUUGGGUAUGAACAUGGUCUUGAGGUAAGAGGCAAAGUAGGAAAAGGGAGCCCAUUCCUGAUGAGGUUCAGCUGUUGGGGUUAAGACUAUGAAUGGCUGAUAAAGCUCAGAGACAGAAAAUA